GCGCAGCCCCAGCCCAUCCCGUGCGGACCCUACGCUGAGUCCGGCCCGGGGUUGCUGGGCCAGCGGGAGCGGGAACGGGACGGCGCUCGCGUUCUGCCAGAGCGGAGAACGACUCGGGGACGGUGCGGAGGACCAGGGGAGGAGAUCCGCGCCCGCACGCACCAUCAACCGAGAGGACGGCCCGCAUCGCGCCAGUGACCUAGGAGCGACUCGGGGACGGCUUCGGGCUCUCAGGCCCUCCUGGGCCACCGGGCACUGAGGAGAGCGGCGGCUGGAAACUGUGGGACCCGAAGGGCGGGAGCCCAGGGCCCGCCCCCGCCGGAGCGCCGCCGCCAUGGCCACGCCCCCGCCACGGGGAUGGGCAGGGCAAGCACCGGAAGUGCAUCACGCGGGAGCGUCUGCGUCGCCUACCCUGCGUGGCGCAGCUGGGGUCCGAGCGGCUUAGCCUCCGGGCGCCUGCGCAGUGGCGGUCCCAGAGACGCACUCGGUUGCCAUAGAGACGGGGGCUUGGGAGCGACGUCGCGCUCGCUGGCACUGGCGGCACUUGCCGCGCCGCAGCCACCUCUUUCCGACUCCACCAUUGCGGGCCCUAUCCGGGGUUUUGAGUCACGCAGACCUGGACACAGCGAGAAACGGCAGUCCGGGCCCGUCCUCCCGCCCCGGGUUCUGCACCCCAGAGUUGGACGCUUGCUUCUCGCUUUCUCCUGAGAGAAGUCUCCGCGUUUCUAAACAAUGCACUGCUAGUUUCUCAUUUCUUUCUUUCUUUUUUUUUUUUUUUUUUUUUUUUUUGGAGACGGAGCCUCGCCUUGUCGCCCAGGCUGGAGUGCAAUGGCGCGAUCUCGGCUCAUUGCAACCUCCGCCUCCAGGGCUUAAACUAUUCUCUUGCUUCAGCCUCCCGAGCAGCUGGGACUACAGGCAUGCGCCACCACGCACAGCUAAUUUUUGCAUUUUUAGUCAAGACGGGGUUUCACCAUUUUGGCCAGGCUGAUUUCGAACUCCUGACCUCGUGAUCUACCCUCCUAGGGCUCCCAACGUGCUGGGAUUAUAGGCGUGAGCCACCGCGCCCGGCCUCUCAUUUCUUAAUUGUAGACAUUGCGUACUUCCGGAGAAGGUCCCUGAGAACCUGGCUGAUCUUCCCCGCUGCACCCCUCACGUGGUCCUGUUAGCUCCCAAACUGUCAACCUGAAAGGAAACCCAGAGGCAGGCUCUCCAGGACAAGUGAGUUAAUCUGGGAAUCGCAGGGGGUUGCAGCCUAGGCUGUUCGUGCCAUGACAGAUCAUAGGCCUAUCUGAGAGGGCCGGGCGAAGGGGAAAAUAUAGAUGAGCUCACAAAAGUUGUUUUGUAACAAAAACCACUGGCUGUGGGCGCUUGCUGCAGGAGUGGGCGUUAGCUUGUUGUUGGCGAGAGCCUUACCAGGCCGACGUCCUUGUGCAAGCUGCUUAUCUAGAAUACUGCAGUCCUGAGGAAUUUCCCUGCAGUAAGUCCGGUUACAGGCAAACGUGCAGGACGUGCAGGAGCGUCUUGUGAGGAGGCCUGCUGCAGGUAUUCCUGCAUGAGAGCUCCCCCUUCGUGGCCUCCCGACUCCAUUUGUUUAGGGAUUGGUGGAAGUAGUUCCAUUUUGGUACCUGCAACUUUCACAGCUGUCGUGAUGAAAUCAGGCUUAGCUCUUCAUGAUUGAGUACCUGCUGUUCACUGCUACAGUAUAAAACCAUGCCACAAUUCCUGUACAAUCUUUUUUUUUCUUUUGAGUUAAUAGUUACCUAAUAUUUUCACAUACCUAGCUUUUUACUAACCCAUGGCCAGCCUUUUUUUCAAGUGCCCCAACGUUUUUGCCACAUGCCUAACAAUACCAUUUUCCAAAGGCUCAAACACAUCCGUUGUGUCUAACUGAUUCUCCUGUUCCGACCUAGACCGAUCACUUCCUGACCCGGCUGCACAGCUCUUAUCUCGAACUUUUCUCUGCUCUCAUCCUUGAGACUCACUUUGCUUGUCUCCUUUCUUGGAUUCCCUGUGUAAACGAAAAAUAAAAUCCUAAGCCCUCUACCAA
rnacentral:antisense_RNA from 1 species